UGUGUCUGGACCGAGUCCAGUUUCUGUUUCUUUGAACUUUUCCAAGUCGCAGAAAAAGCAAAGGGGGGCAAUUUCUGACAUAUCACAGCAUUCGAAGUCCCGAUGACCUCACCACCUCCACACUGAAACCGCUUUUGAUUUUCAAAGAGCCUUUCUUCUUUUUUCUUCCCCUCCCCUCUAUGGGAUGCAGAAGGAUGAAUUACAAAACAAAUCUUCUGGCUCCCUCUUCAAGAUGGAGAGAAUCAUUGACUCCUGUUAUGAAAGAGAUGCUCAGACGGGGUGUGGCCCCCAUGCCAGGCACCAAUGCUCACUGCAGUGGGAGCCAAAGCCCACCGGAUCUGCUGAAGGCUGUGGAGCAAAGAAUAACCAGACUCGCCCAGAAACGGGGCUCUAGAAAGCAGACCUACCAACUAGCACGGACUAGAGGAGAUCGCCAAGGGGAGGAGUACAACGGACCAGGAAUAGGAACUGAGCAUGCGCCAAGGAUGUGACGUCUGGGAGAAGGGAAGGAGCCUGCAGAGGUGGGCUGGGAAAAGACGCCAUGACGACUGAAAGGAAGUGGGAAGUGGAACUCUUGCACUUUCUUGCUCUUCCUUUUCUCAUGCCCUCUUUGUCCCUGUCCCUUCC
rnacentral:sRNA from 1 species